rnacentral:tRNA from 1 species
GGGGUUGUAGCCAAGAGGUUAAGGCGAUAGUCUGCAAAACUAUUUUUCUUCAGUUCAAAUCUGAACAGCCCCUCCA